GGUGCCCUGUCAGCAGCGGGCAGGCCACACCGGGCCGGUCUGUUGUGAGAGUCCCAUCGGCACUGCCCAUUGUUGCUGUCCACUCCGGUACAGAUUUUUUUCUGCAUACUAAUACCUGUGUGGUGCUUAUAUGUGGAAUAUGGCAAGAAGCUAUUCACUGCAAGCACAGACAGGAUGGUCACACAGGCCUCUGCUCUGUUUUGUGAAAGAAACCAGGAGAAAGAUCAGUGACCAAACCCCCAACCAUGGCAGUGUAAAGGUGCUGUUCUGAAGCCUUUCUUUGCAGAAUCCACAGCACACUGUACAGGUGAUGAUUAAAUUGGACCAGUCUCCUCAGCAUGUGAAAUUUACUGCUCGUGCUCCAUGCUACAUCAAGUCUUACACAACACCUGUUUUUUCCUUCUGGCUCCACAUGACAUUUGGCAACAGAUGUGUUAUUUACAGGUAAAUUUUAUACCAACUUUGUUGUGCAAAAAGUUGAUUUGGGGAAGCAGUUACAUAAAUAUUAUUAAAAA